UAGGUAACCUGCCUCAAAGAGGGGAAUAGCCUCCCGAAAGGGAGAUUAAUACCGCAUAAUAUGUUUAGGUCGCAUGACUUUAACAUCAAAGGAUUUUCUUUUAGAAAUUCCACUUUGAGAUGGACCCGCGGCGCAUUAGCUAGUUGGUGAGGUAACGGCUCACCAAGGCAACGAUGCGUAGCCGACCUGAGAGGGUGAUCGGCCACAUUGGAACUGAGACACGGUCCAGACUCCGUAGGGAGG
rnacentral:rRNA from 1 species